AAAUUGAAGAGUUUGAUCAUGGCUCAGAUUGAACGCUGGCGGCAGGCCUAACACAUGCAAGUCGAGCGGUAGCACAGAGAGCUUGCUCUCGGGUGACGAGCGGCGGACGGGUGAGUAAUGUCUGGGAAACUGCCUGAUGGAGGGGGAUAACUACUGGAAACGGUAGCUAAUACCGCAUAACGUCGCAAGACCAAAGUGGGGGACCUUCGGGCCUCAUGCCAUCAGAUGUGCCCAGAUGGGAUUAGCUAGUAGGUGGGGUAACGGCUCACCUAGGCGACGAUCCCUAGCUGGUCUGAGAGGAUGACCAGCCACACUGGAACUGAGACACGGUCCAGACUCCUACGGGAGGCAGCAGUGGGGAAUAUUGCACAAUGGGCGCAAGCCUGAUGCAGCCAUGCCGCGUGU
rnacentral:rRNA from 4 species